rnacentral:rRNA from 1 species
AGGGUUCGAUUCUGGCUCAGGAUGAACGCUGGCGGCGUGCCUAACACAUGCAAGUCGAACGGAGAACACGUUUCGGAUGUGUUCUUAGUGGCGAACGGGUGAGUAACGCGUGAGUAACCUGCCUCGAAGUGGGGGACAACAGUUGGAAACGACUGCUAAUACCGCAUAACAUAUUCGGAGGGCAUCCUCUGAAUAUCAAAGAUUUAUUGCUUUGAGAUGGACUCGCGUCUGAUUAGAUAGUUGGUGAGGUAACGGCCCACCAAGUCUGCGAUCAGUAGCCGGACUGAGAGGUCGAACGGCCACAUUGGGACUGAGAUACGGCCCAGACUCCUACGGGAGGCAGCAGUGGGGAAUAUUUGGGCAAUGGGGGAAACCCUGACCCAGCAACGCCGCGUGAAGGAAGAAGGCCUUCGGGUUGUAAACUUCUUUUGUCAGGGACGAAAUUUGACGGUACCUGACGAAUAAGCUACGGCUAACUACGUGCCAGCCGCCGC